CCAGACUCCUACGGGAGGCAGCAGUGGGGAAUAUUGCACAAUGGGGGAAACCCUGAUGCAGCAACGCCGCGUGAAGGAAGACGGUUUUCGGAUUGUAAACUUCUGUUCUUAGUGAAGAAGAAUGACGGUAGCUAAGGAGCAAGCCACGGCUAACUACGUGCCAGCAGCCGCGGUAAUACGUAGGUGGCAAGCGUUGUCCGGAAUUACUGGGUGUAAAGGGAGCGCAGGCGGGAAGCCAAGUCAGCUGUGAAAACUACGGGCUUAACUUGUAGACUGCAGUUGAAACUGGUUUUCUUGAGUGAAGUAGAGGUUGGCGGAAUUCCGAGUGUAGCGGUGAAAUGCGUAGAUAUUCGGAGGAACACCGGUGGCGAAGGCGGCCAACUGGGCUUUAACUGACGCUGAGGCUCGAAAGUGUGGGGAGCAAACAGGAUUAGAUACCCCAGUA
rnacentral:rRNA from 1 species